UCAGACGAUGCGUCAUGCAUAUCAAUAAGCGGAGGAAAAGAAACUAACAAGGAUUCCCUUAGUAACGGCGAGUGAAGCGGGAAGAGCUCAAAUUUGAAAUCUUCAAGGUUUUACCUUGACGAAUUGUAGUUUAAAGAAGUGUUUUCGGUUAGAGAGUUUGGUAAAAGUUCUUUGGAAUAGGACAUCAUAGAGGGUGAGAAUCCCGUAUUUGACCAUUAUUUUCAGCUGUGUGAUACACUUUCAAAGAGUCGGAUUGUUUGGGAAUGCAGUCCAAAAUGGGUGGUAAAUUUCAUCUAAAGCUAAAUAUUGGCGAGAGACCGAUAGCGAACAAGUACCGUGAGGGAAAGAUGAAAAGAACUUUGAAAAGAGAGUUAAACAGUACGUGAAAUUGUCAAAAGGGAAGCGUUUGAUACCAGUGUUGUUUUUCCGAAAAUCAAUUAAAAAUAGGAUUCAUGCUAAGUAGUAUUGACCUCAUCAGCUUGCAAUGCUAGUUUUGGGUCAUUUUUGAUGCACUUUUCGGUUAACAAGUCAACAUCAAUUUCCUUUGCCUGUAAAAGGGUAGAAGGAAGGUGGCUUCAAUUUCGGCUGAAGUGUUUAUAGCCUUCUGUCCUCUGCAGGUCGGAGAGAUUGAGGUCUGCAGCGUAGAUCCUUCGGGGCUAGAUACAUUUGUGCUAAGUUAUAGCCUUUCAUAGACAACUUGUUGACUAUGAUCAGGUCAUGUACUUACUCGCUUAUGCUAUUUUACCUACGCUUAGGAUGUUGAUAUGCAUGACUGAUAU
rnacentral:rRNA from 1 species